UGCCUAAAAUGCUGGUAGUAAUUAUUUGAAUGACUUGUUUCUGAGGGAACAAAAAAGAAUGUGGAGGUCUCUCUUUAGCACAUUCUCAUUUCAGGGGGAAAGGUCAACAAUUCAGAUUUCUACCAAAGUAACCUUUAUUGGGUUGAAGGAAGAAGAGGGUGUUUGAAAUGACAUUCAGAAACAUGCAUUCUACGCUGGACUAACAGCAAGACCCUUAAGGUUCUUCAUCACCUUCCUGUCCUCCCAUGGCGACUUGCAGCCUCCACCAAGGAUAUCCAUUAUUCAGAGCCUCAGUGUGCUGCGGCUACUUCCACGGCCUCAUCACUCAGCAUCCGCUGUGUCUUC